AGCGAACGCUGGCGGCAGGCCUAACACAUGCAAGUCGAACGAACUCUUCGGAGUUAGUGGCGGACGGGUGAGUAACACGUGGGAACGUGCCUUUUGGUUCGGAAUAACUCAGGGAAACUUGUGCUAAUACCGAAUGUGCCCUUCGGGGGAAAGAUUUAUCGCCAUUAGAGCGGCCCGCGUCUGAUUAGCUAGUUGGUGAGGUAACGGCUCACCAAGGCGACGAUCAGUAGCUGGUCUGAGAGGAUGACCAGCCACACUGGGACGGAGACACGGCCCAGACUCCUACGGGAGGCAGCAGUGGGGAAUCUUGCGCAAUGGGCGAAAGCCUGACGCAGCCAUGCCGCGUGAAUGAUGAAGGUCUUAGGAUUGUAAAAUUCUUUCACCGGGGACGAUAAUGACGGUACCCGGAGAAGAAGCCCCGGCUAACUUCGUG
rnacentral:rRNA from 1 species